rnacentral:rRNA from 1 species
GACGAACGCUGGCGGCGUGCUUAACACAUGCAAGUCGAGCGGUAAGGCCCUUUCGGGGGUACACGAGCGGCGAACGGGUGAGUAACACGUGGGUGACCUGCCCUUAGCUCUGGGAUAAGCCUGGGAAACUGGGUCUAAUACCGGAUAUGACUCCAUGACGCAUGUUGUGGGGUGGAAAGCCUUGUGCGGCUAGGGAUGGGCCCGCGGCCUAUCAGCUUGUUGGUGGGGUGAUGGCCUACCAAGGCGACGACGGGUAGCCGGCCUGAGAGGGCGACCGGCCACACUGGGACUGAGACACGGCCCAGACUCCUACGGGAGGCAGCAGUGGGGAAUCUUGCGCAAUGGGCGAAAGCCUGACGCAGCGACGCCGCGUGGGGAUGAC